CUCUUAACUUAUUUGAUGAGAGAGAGAGAGAAAGAAAGAGAGGGCUUUCCAACUCAUUACAACUCACUCAAAUCAAUGACGCUGCUAAAAGAGCGCUUUCCAACUCUCUCUUAUUAACUCUAAUUCUACAGGUUGAUAAUCUCGACUAGCACAAGCAUAAAUUUAAAAAUAUAUUUUAAACUUUAAAAACAUGUUGUUUUAAAAUUUUCAUAGACUAUGCAUUUUAAUUCUUUCAAAAUAAAAUAUCAUAAAAUUCAAAUUUAAAUUCUAAUUCUAAUUCUAUUUUUUAAAAUUCAUAAUCAAAGUGGUUGAGAUUAUUGGCCUAUAAAAGUUUAGUCCAAAAGUCAUUCUCUAAUAGAGAUUUUGGGAAGAGGACCACAUUAGCAACUCAUAAACUUUUCCCUUUGCUUUCCUUCAAAAAAAUAUAAGAUAAAUCACAAAGUGUCAACAAGGUUUGGUUUGGUUAGAAUUUCAAAGUUAAAAUUGAUGUACUUCCAUGGUUUACCAUGAACAUUAUUAAGGAAAGUGUACAAUGUCUACCGGGUUACUAUGGAAAGUGUAUGGGAAGGCUAAGUGCAAUAUCAUGCAUUUUCUGGUAGUUCUCAAUAUCUUAUACGUGUUUAUGAUUCAUUUCCAUUCCUAUCGUAUAUCCCAAGUUUCUCUUCAGAGAAACUUUGGACUUUAACAAACAUGAUGUCAUUUCCAAGUACUCCCCAUGAACUGGUGGUAUUUGUUAACCAACACUUCACAAAAAGUUUACUUUCAAGUUAGUGGUGAACGUUUUUUAUUAAAAAAAAAUGAUCUUCUUUACCCAUUCUUUUGCUUAAUUUUUCUAAAGAGAUAUAUCAAAACUCUUUAACAUUUUACCGAUUUCAUAUAAAUUUAAAAACUCAUCAAAAUGCAAAUAUUGGAAUAUUUAAAAAUUGUUAAAAUAUUAAAAAUUUGAUAAAUUAGUUAUAUAUUAAUAAAUUUUUCUUUUUAUAUUGAGGAUGAUGUGUAUUUGCACGUUUUUUUUUCUCUAUUUUGUGGUGGGUUUUCAUUCGUGUACGUAGAGGUGAAGGAGUGUUGCUUCCAAUUAGUUAGACCCAAGAUGUGGGGGGAUAAGUACUUCUUAGUAAUAUGUAUGUAGGAGGAGGUAAGACUAAGGAAAAAAUAUUGAAAAUGUUGGAGAGAGAGAGAGAUCCUCCUUUGAGUAGCUUCAUUAAUUUAAACAAGGUUGUGCAUGAGCUUCUUACCUGUAAGAAUCAUCAUGAUCGUCCGAGUUUUAUCCCAAUAAUUUGGGGUCGACAAUACGAAUCUUAUUUCAUACCCUCAGUCAGACCAUUAGUCACUAGAUCUAAUCUCAUUACUUCCAUCAAUAUCUAUUUGGGCCAUCCCCUUGUCCUUUUAGUGCUGUCUAUUUGAACUAAAUCUCUCCGUCAAACCUACUAUGUCUUAGGUCAAUACUACACAUGACCAAGACCGUCUAAGUCUACUUUCUUUCAUUUUAUCACCUAUUGGAUUUAUUCUUAAAUCUCCUCGAAUGUAUUCAUUUCGAAUUUCAUCUUUUAUUAUCAUACCACUGAGCCAUUGCAACAUCCUCAUCUAAGAUACACUAACUUUAUGGAUAUUUUAUUUCUCGACUGCUUAUACAUUCCAUCCCAUAGAAAUUCCCUUAUAGUUUUAUUGGUAUGUGACCAUGACAUAAGACUCCAGAUGCACAUCUCCACUUCAUCCACCCAGCUCUAAUCAUAUAAACACAACCCAAGAUAUUCAAAUGUUAUUGGUGAUGAUGAUGCACACCCUAAAAUAUGAAAGGAAUUAUGGGGUGUUGGAGAAGGAGAGAGCAAUCGAAAGUGCACAAGAGGCAUGGUUACAGCUUGAGCAGGGGAGCGAAACUUUUUAUACCUAUUUGAAGUAGGAUAAGCAUCGUAUGCUUCAAUAACUAAGGAAAAUUAUAGUUCAUGGGAGUGAAAGAAACUUUGAAGUGGUUGCAGCAUCCCAAUGGCAAGUCAAAUCCUCUCCAUUAUUGGAAAUCAUUUCAUUCGAUAAUAUGCAAUGUACUUUUCCUUUUAAAAUUUGCACCAUCGUUCUCAAUUAUUAUUAUAAUUUAAGAGGUGGCGUCAAGCAACCUUUUCUUUCUUCUUAAACACACACUAGCUUCUUUUGUUCCCCCUCUAAAAUGUAAAAUAAUAGACUCAUUUUGGUGAAUCAGUUGUAAUCAAUGGUUUAAAAACCGGAUCGGUGACCCGGAUCAGGCUACCAAAAAACCGAUCCGGAUCGGUGAAUCGGCGAUCGGGAUCAGGAAUGGGGUGAAUCGGUCAGAAUAAAGCUUAAAAAAAAUCCUAAAAAAUUAUUAAAAUUCAUUAUAAAUAUUGUUUUUUAGGAAUUCAAUAAGAAAUGAAGGUACUCCAUUAAGAAUUUCCAUGUUUUUGAAUGAAUAUGCGAAUAUUGAUAUGUUCUUUCCUUACAUGAACCGCCAUUCAACAUUUAAUUUACAUCACACAAAAGGAUAAACAUAUAAUUAUCAUGGAAUAAGUAUAUCAACAUACAUGGACUACAAUAAAGCAUAAAAUUAGUAACAUAUGAUCUAAAAAUAAAAUGAUAGACGACGUUAUUGUUCUUCUUGGUCACGCUGGUGCCAUUGAUUGAAUUCGUUUAACAAUUCAUUGAUUCGAUCUAAAAACGAAUCAUCGAUAUUAGCAGGCGUCUGACUAUUCCCAAAUCCCUAAGUGUUAGUGUUUUGUUGUGUUCCCAAUCUAAAAUCCCCGAAGAUUGUCCAUCUUUCAUGCUCACCUGCACUGUCGUGCUCAUCCCUACAUUGUUGCCGUUGGGACUCGAUAUGUAAAUAAUAUGGCUGGGAUAGAGUGGCCUCAAAAUCAUCAUCUCUCUCAUUUUCUCUUUGAAUAAUAUGGAAUUAAAAAAAAAAAACAAAUUUCCAAAAAAAUCGAUCCUGGAUUAAAAAAAAAAAAUUACAAAUUUUCAAAAAAUUCUAUCAUGGAUUAAAAAAAAAAAUCACAAAUUUUAAAAAAAUUUUAUCAUGGAUUACAAAAAAAAAUUCGNNNNNNNNNNNNNNNNNNNNCUCUAUCAUAGGGUUAACAAAAAAAAAAAAACAAAAAAUUCGCUCAUGGAUUACAAAAAAAAACAAACAUUUCAAUCUUGGAUUACAAAAAAAAACAAACAUUUCGAUCAUGUAUUACAAAACAUUCGAUCAUGGAUUACAAAAAUUCUAUCAUGGGUUACAAAAAAAAAAAAUUCGAUCAUGGAUUACAAGAAAAAAAAACAAACAUUUCGAUCAUGGAUUACAAAAAAUUCGAUCAUGGAUUACAAAAAAUCUAUCAUGGGUUACAAAAAAAAAAAAAAACAAAAAAAUUCAAUCAUGGAUUACAAAAAAAAAAAAAUUCGAUCAAGGAUUACAAAAAAAUCGAUCAAGUAUUACAAAAAAAUCUAUCAUGGAUUACAAAACAAAAAAAAGAAAAAAAAAAUUCCGUACGGGACUCGCCGAUUCAUUGUACGGAUUCGCUGAUUCCGUACAAUGAAUCGGCGAGUCACUGUACAGAAUCAUCCGGUUCUCUCUAGAACCGAACGAUUCCCGUUUUUUUUGCCGAUUCGAUCCGUCCAUGACGAUUCCCGAGUCGAACCGGACUUCGACUAGGCAUUUUUUUAAACACUGGUUGUAAUAGAAAAGAAGAAAGUCUAUAGCUCACUCUUGGACCCAAACAUCCAAGAAAAUCACAAAAUAAAAAAACCAAAAAGGGCUACUAUCAUUGCUUUUUAUAUUCAAUAUAAGCAUAGUUCAAACUUCGAAGAGAUUUAAUUCUCUUGAUUUUGGACCGGCGAACCAAAGUUAGACUCUCCAGUUCCUUGCCAAAGAAGUUUUUGUCUCAUGUUAUUAGCAUUUUGUGGAAGAAAUUAACCAAAAAGAAAAGAACAAUUUGUUAGAAUCCAAGUGUUUAAGAUAAGAUAAGGUACAACAAUAUUGUUAAUAAUGAAUAAGUAUGCGAUAAUACUAUUUACCUUUUGCAUAAGAUAGUCAUAAUCACUUUUAGCUCACAAAUAUGAAAACUUUAGAUGUGAUGAGUGUGCUUUCAUAACCCUCAUUGAUUAAAUUUUUUUUAUUUAUAUAUUUUGAACUUUGUGUAAAAGUAUUACACAUCCUAACCACCCAAUUCCACAUCUAACAACUAGUGAUAGUUGUAACCUUCUUGUACCAUAGGUAACCGGUCUACAAUAUGGAUCCCCAAUUAAUAAGAUAAGUAUAGAUGUUUUGGAGCCUCCAUUUGUUUUUAUUUUUUCCUCUAUGUGUGUCCCGUUAAUCAUUUUUACUAUUUCGAUCUUGUUGCCUUCUUUUUAUUUUUCACGAGAGAUCAUUUCAAGGUAUUACUCUAAACAUUGCAAACAAACCUUCUAUCUGAACCUAUAAGUAUCAAAUGGCUCAAGAGAAACGAUCCGCAUGGAAUGAAAUACAAUACCCGGUUCACUGUAUAUGGGGGUGAGAUUGCUAGAGUAUGAAUUGCAGGUGUUGUGGUGGAGUAAGUUUAAAGCUCUUGACAUAUUGUAAUAUGAACAUGAGUGAAAACUUCAUCGGCUUCUACUUGAUUUCUCUCGUUGUUCAACUCAACUUGAUUAGCAAGGUUCAAUGCAUAUACAUACUCACAGAUGAACUGGCUAAGCAUUCAACCACUGAUUGUGAAUGGCCUCUAUCAAUCAAAAUUUUGUGAGUAUUGGAAGAAGAUUAUUUGGGGCAUGACAUUUUUUUUUGUGUAUUCAUGUAUUCGUUAUAGAGAAUUGGCCCUGAUUUUUUUACUCAUAAUAUUGUUCUUUUCUUAGGUUUUAUAUUAUUUAACAAGUUAUUUCUUUCUCAAUUAUUUAUAAAAGUACCUCAAGGAGAGUAGGGAGUUAGAAUCAAUGAAAUUAUGUUGUGGGAAGUGUGUUUCCCCAAGUGAGAACCAUUUUGUAAUGUGAGUCGAAUCGGCUGUUAAGAAUCCAUUAGCAUUCAAACUCUCUCCAUGAAAAUAAGUUUGCAUUUUUUUUUAUACCCCAAGAGUCAAGCAAGUACAAUAAUCACAGAAGAAAAGGUUUUUGGAAUUAUUGCUAGAAAAAACAAUGUUUUAUAUGUGAAUUAGUUGGGUUGUAAGGUGCAAGCCCAAUUCAUACUAAUUCUCAUUGCAUAAAACAAACAAAUAUAGCUUAAUUUUUUUUCUUUUUGGGUAUAAUAAAACCUUGACAACAAAUUUCAUACGAACAAAGAAUGAUUGCUACGUAUAUUGAGAUCUUACUUUGCGAUUGCUCUCUUGGCUAGGUGCGUCUUCAAGGAUAUGCUAAUGGUAUUUUGCUUCUAAUAGCGAUGUUAUCUCAAUGGGUUCGCCCUCAAAAAUUCCAAAAGCAAAGAUAAAACUGUAAAAUUUUGUUUUCUUUUAUUGCUAUUUAGUUUAAUUGUUUGGUUAAUGAUUUGUUUACCAAUUAGUAAGAAAGGUGUACCUUAAUUUUCUUUGUGCUUCUUCCAAUUGAUAUAGAACCCCAUUAAUUUCUCGCUAAACCUCCUGAAAUUUCCAAAGUAAUUGGUUCUCAAAAGGAAAACAAGAUGGAAUGAGAAUCACACGAUUGCUAACAUAAAUUAAAGACCAAAUGUGUGUUACAGGGAUUGUCUGUUAUUAGAUUAUGUAGCUUUAUAAUACAUAGUAGAAUUUAUCAAAAGAAAUCAAAAAAAUGAAAAUUUGAAUAAAAAUAACAAUGAAAGAAUAAGCCAGGCUUCUUAGCUCUCUAAUUUAACGAGGACUUUCAAGACAAACAAUGUUUUACUUUGCUUCAGAAUCUUCUUUAGACUUCUAUUUAUAGUUAAAACCGUAACCCCCUAGUUAAAACCGUAACCCCCAAGAUAUCUUUAUUCUAGUACAAUUUGAACUUCGGAUUAAAAUAUACCUUUGAUAGAAUAAAUAAUUCUAUAAUGACUCUAGUUGAAUGCCUCUAAAGUUCCAACACUAAAAAGCCUUGAACUUCCUAAUAAAUUGAAAAUAUUUAAUAGUAAAACCUACAAUAUCCCAAAAUAUAUUCAUAAACUUUAAUAGAAAUUAAAAAUGUACUAGGCAUCUUGGCGUGCAUCAUUUUUAGUAUAAGACUAGAAUAUCCAUCAAAUUAGAAAUCAAACAACUGAAGACGAAUCAUAAGUUUAAGAACAUUUUUGCUGGACGUUUAGCAAGUUUCAAUGCAAAUUCCUAAUUGUCCAACUUCACAUCUAAUGGCUAGGAGCAAUUGUGAUGUUGUUAUAACACAAGUGAAGAAUCGUAUUCUAUAAUUUUCGAUAAGAAGUUGUGAGCGUACUUGAAUACGUGGGUCAAGAUUGUUUGAGAUGAUUCAACUCAGUCCGCCAGAAAUCCAACAUUACGAAACAAAGAAAAACAUUCAAAUGAGAUAAGCACAAUGAAGCCCUUCAUUUCCAAAUAUGAGAGAGUGGGAGAGAGAAGAGAUACAUGUUUAUCUUAGAGGCCAAAUUAUCUUCAAACCUCAGCUUCCAAAGGUCUUCAUGGACACGUUGUUUUACCAAGUCGAUCGUAGCGCAAAUAUCAUUUGAGACAGUGCACUAUAACAUCAUUUACUAUUAUUAUAAGUACUCCUAGCUCUUAGUAAUCAAAUCGAAUAGCUUGAGGUGUGUCAUGAAGUAUGAGAAAUUCCUUUUAGCUUUGAGUCUAGUCAAUUACACACAACCAUCCAAUUUAAACUUUGAUAGAAAGGAUUGAGUAUGACCUCCUUGUACUAAAAUAAGAGGGAACUUUCCAUGUGACCCCAACAACAUAUGAGUUAUAUGGGACCCCACUUCUUAGCCGUUCUUUCUUAAUCAAGCAACUACAGUUGUUUAUACCACAAUAUCAUGCUAAAUAUUGUUUUAUUUUUAAUUAUUGUCUACAAAAACUUUUUGAAUAAAAUUUUGGGCAUCCAAUGAUAAAAUUAGGGCGAAGCUGGAAAAAACUAAAAAUAAAUAUUUUCCAUAAAAAUAAAUGACCAAAAUACCCCUGACAUUUUUAGGGUAUUCUGGUAAUUUUUUAUAAUCGGAUUUAUUUUUUUUUAAUCAUGUGCGCCAUUGUUAGAUCUAUGCAUGUCACAAAUUUUGGCUUAAAAUGAUUUAUAGAAUAAAAAUUAAAAAUAAAAAACUCUGAGUCGUCCGAUCAAGAUCUAAUGGUUAAGAGCAAGCUUGUGAUAUUGUUAACUCAAGCCAUCUACUAAGAUCUGACAGCUGAGAUCAGGGUCACAUAUAAUACAUAUGUGGGUGGGGUUCCAAAGAAACAUUUCCCCUAAAAAUGGCAUAUUUAUAUACUUUUCUACAUUAUUAUCAGUGCGACUCGAGAGUAAACCAAACCACAAAUUUUAAUACACACAAUCACAUAACAAGAGAGAUAUGAUACUUACUUGUUCAUCCUGAAACCUUUGUGAAGCUUUUUCUUUUUGUUUUUGAAGUUGCAUAUCUAACAAAAAUGGCACUUCAUAUGAACUUAGGAAUAAAACAAAAAGGAAACAUGAGAGCUUAAUAGAGGACACAAAUAAAAAGCGAGUAGAACCCAUUAAAUAUUAAGCUAUUACCUCACACGUACAUGCACAGGAAGGUUCAUAUAUUGAGAAAAAUUUCUUCAACCUAGGACAUAGACAAAGGGAAAAAAAAUAAAAAUAAAGAUAAGAGAUAUAGUCAUGAUGAAACUAAAUAUUCAAUGUAAUAAGAAAAUAAAGAAAUGGUUAGUUUAGUGACCUAUCCUUCCCAGAGAAAACACUGAGCUUUCCAUUUUGGAAGAACAUGAUGAGAGCAAUAUCAAUGUCACAAAGAACAGAGAGCUCAUUGGCCUUGUUGAGGAGGUCAUUCUUCUCAUUGAGUAAGUAGGUCACUUGCCUGUUUGUUUUGUCCUCUAUCUUCUUUAUUUGAAUCUUUACUUGCCCCAUUGUCUCCUUGCUAAUGUAGUUUUGACCCAAGAAGCAAUUCGGGCCAAUUUACAGGCUUAAGAGCUCCAUGCUUAAAAAAAGGUGGAAAGAGAGACAAGCCAAUUUAUAGGCUUAGGAGCUCCAUGCUUAAAAAACGGUGGAGAGACAAAAGGGCAGAAAAAGCUGACGAUAAGUCCAGCCCGCAUGGUUGACAAAUACAAAGAAUAGAAUCGAGGGUAAAGGGAAAUUUUUAUUGGUUUGCAAGUGCAUUUGAGAGAGAGAGAUGGGGUGGUGUAAGUACGUUUUGUUGCGUGCUCUAUCUUUGUCUACGUCAUAAGUAAGUUUAUCCUUGUGUAUUCAAGCCAUAGUUAGCAAAUCGGCAAUUAAGUAUUUUUAUAAAAAACUUUUAAGACGAAAGUUUGGCAAAAAAACAAGUUUUUUUUUAGAAAAACAUUUAAAAUGCGAUUUUAAGAAAAACAAAUUAAACUGGACCAAAAAAACAUAUCCUUUUUCUAUCUGUAAAUUUUUUUUGAAAGAUAAAAAACAGUAACUUUUUCCUGUUUUGUGUAUUGUUAUUUUCAUACUUUUUAAAAAUGCAUAUUAUUUCCAUAAAAACUUAGAAUAGAAAUUUUUAUCACCAACAGGUUUAUGUAUCAUUGGGGUUUGUGUUGAAAUCAUGUUCUUCUUCAAAGCCGUAGUUGCAGAUUGAAUAUAUGAGUUUUUUUUUUUUUUUUAACUUAAGCAUAUGCAGAUUUCAAUAGUUAUUAUGAAAAAUCAUUGUGUAAAGGAAACACUGUUUAUGGCAAAUUAUUGUGCAAAGGAAACUAUUGUGUAAAAAAAAUCAUAUGGAUGCAGAUUUAUGUAAUUAUUUGUGAUAAUAGUUAAUAGAAAUAUUGUUUAUGGCAUAAAACCAUCCAUAUUAUCAUAAACUACGGCUCAAAAGCAUCCAUAUUAUCACAAAUUGGGGAUCAAACCAUCCAGAUUAUCACAAAUUAGAAUAAUAUUAGAAUCAAAUUAGAAAAAAAAAAAAAAAUGAAAACCAUUGAAUAAAAAAUCAUAAAAUUUUUGCUUGACAAAAUUGCACCAAAAAGUCAAUCAAAAUUAAGACUCAAAGACCAUCCAGAUUACGCAUUUAACACAAAAGCUUAAAAAAAAAAAAAAUCUUAAAAAAUUAGCAAACAUAAUCCUUGUUCCUCUGUGCGUGCUGCUUCUCUCUCUUACAAAUUAAAGAGGAAAUCAACCUAAUAACCAACUCUUCCCAUGGGUUAUACCCAGAUUGAUUUUAGGGUUUUGGGAUUUUCUCGCUCCUGCAAAUUACAGAGGAAAAGAAAAGCCUAGAAAUAGAGUGAUGUUAUAGUGGAAAGCCUAACCAUAUAGAUUUUAGGGUUCUGGAGUCUUCUUUUUCCUGCAAUUCGUGUAUCCCCCAUUUUCUUUUCUCAUGCUUAAACCAUUGUACCCAAUUCAUAUACAUCACAUUCAACCACAUGCUUUGAAUCUUCCUGCUCUUGCAAAUUAAAGAGGAAAACCAAGGGAAACGAAAGAUGUGCUUUUCUUCUCUAAAAACAGAGUACCCAAAUGGAAUGUUUCUCUCUCUAGAAACAGAGUACCCAAAUGCUACCAGCCCUAUUUUCAAUGAAGUAUAAACCCAACCAUUAGCCAUAGUUAUAGAGUGACACCAUUAAAUGAGAAAAACAUUGUGUAUUUUCUUUGGUGUGUUCUUAAGUGGGAUGGUUGUUAAAGUAUUUAAUGAGAAAAUUUAUAUGGUGUAUUUUUUUUGGUACGUACUUAAGUAGUUCCAUGUUCAUUAAAGCAUUUAAUGAAAAAAUUUAUAUGGUGCAUUUUUUUUUAGUAUGUAUUAAGUAGGUGUGAUAUUUGUUAAAGCAUUUAAUGAAAAAACUCAUAUGGUCUAUUUAUCAUGAACUUAUUAUUUUAUUUUUAUUUCUACUUAACUUUAUUAAAUUGUAUAUAAUGCAAAUUAAACACAUAUUUACUUUCAAUGCUUUCUAUAAGUAGCCUACCAUGCUAUUUUAUGUACCCAUUAACUAGUUAGGCUUGUAGAUUGCUUUGAGGUAGUUCAUAUGAAGAGCAUGAACCCCAAAUGUGUAUGCACUUAUAUAUUUUAUAUUUUAUAUUUUAUUAAAAAAAUGAAAGAAGAAACAAUAGAUGGUCAAAAGAUCCUUUUUUGGGAUUACUGUGAAGAAAGAUGACAUUAAUUGUAUUACAAAUUUUUAGGUGAACGCUUUUAUGCGGGGAUAACAAGAUUCAAAUAUCACUUGUCAAGAUAACAAGCGAAUAAUAAAAAAGCUUGCCCUCAAGUACUUGAUGAUGUACAAGCUUUGGUUAUCACUGCACCACACGAGGUAUCUUCUAAGCCCUCAAAGAAGAAGAUCUAAAUUACAUCAUAUGUUUAAAAUGAUGAUCAAGAUUCGAUAAACUUAGAUAAUUAGGAUGCAUCACUUGGUACCUCAACGACUAAUUCUCGUUUACAAUAAAGUUCUCUACCAUCAUUGUUUGAUAAGAAAAAGAAAGAUUUUAUUGACAAAGAAGUUGCUUGUACAUUUAUCAUGAAUAAUAUAACAUUUAGUAUUAUUAAUGCACAAUCAUUUGUUAAUAUGAUAAAUACAUGUAUGAAUUUUGGUGUUGGGUAUACAUUGCCAAGUUAUUCAUCUAUUCACACUAAAUUGAUACAAAAACUUAAGAUAGAGUCGAUGCAUAUGUAGCUUCAAUAAAAUAUUCAUGGGUUCAAUCAGGAUGCAUUUUUAUAUCAGAUCUCUGAUCGGAUAUGAAAAACCAGUCAUUCCUCAAUGUUGUUGCACCUUGUUCUAAUGGAUCAAUUUUUAUAAAUGCAUUUGAGGUAUUUGAGCAUAACAUAACUGAAUUAUUUAUUGAAAAAAAAUUUAUUUAAGUCAAUGACGAGUUAGGACUAUAUAAUAUUGUUCAUCUUGUAACUGACAAUAGUUCAAAUUAUAUACUUGCUAGUGAUCUAAUAGAAUCGAUAUUCCCUCGUAUUCAUAAAAUCAUGGUAUGCUACCCAUGGGUUGGAUUUGUAUUUAGAAGACAUUGAAAAGGAUGUCAUUUGGGUACAAGAUAUCAUUACGGAUGCUAAGCUUUAUGUAUCGGCAUACCAUUGUUUUAGAUAAAAUGAGAAAAUACAUAAUAUAAGGGAAUUGAAAAAGUAUCGUACAAGUAGAUUUUCCACUAAAUUUUUUAUGGUUCAAUCUGUAUCACAAGUAAAAGAGGGAUCGAGAUUAAUGGUUGCAUCAUUUAAGUGGAGCGCUAUAAAUUAUAGCAAGAGUAAAAAUGAGACAAAAAUCACAUAAAUAAUUCAAAGCUUCAAUUUUUGAAAUGAUGCAACAGAUACAAUCACUACAUUAGAGCCUCUUAUCAAAGUGCUUCAUUUUGGUGAUAGUGAGGGGUCCAACAUGGGAUAUUUAUAUGAAGCAAUGUGAAGGGAAAGGGAAGAACUAAAGAGGAAUUGUAAUGGCAAGGAAUCUAGAUAUUUUGAAUUGUUUAAGAUGUUUGAAAAAAAAAAAAGGAAAUAUAAUUCACCUCAUUCAAGUUGCAGCCGCAUUUCUUAAUUCAACUUUAGUGUGUGAUGGGUUUGUUAAACUUAAUCCUGAAGUGAAAGCUUGCUUUACCUUGAUUUUAAAUACAAUGAUCCAAACAAAACAUAAAAAUGUAUUCGUUUAAGAGUUGUUAAAGUACCAUAUGCGGGAUUCAAAUAUAUUUGAUCGUGUUGAAAUGGGAUUAUUGUCAAUAACUCAUCCUCGUAAUUAUCUUCUUGACUAUUAACUUUUUGUAUCUUCUUGUAUUAUUUAUUUUUUUGGUAUUUUAAGAAAAUAAAUUUUAUUUCACUUUUAAUGGUAUCUUGAAUAUGUGGCUAAAAAUUUAUCAUUAUGUAAGAGUUUGGUGGGAAGUAUGUGAAAAAAAGAUUCCAUUGAUUUGAAUGGUUGCCAUUCAGAUUUUGAGCCAACCAUAUAGCUCAUCAGUGUGCAAAAGAUAUUGGAGAGCUUUCGAGGCAACUCAAACUAAAAAAAUGAAUAGAUUGACACCAGUUAUGUUAACCGACUUGGUUUACAUAAGAGUGAACUUGAAGAUGAUGGCUGCAUCUUGUGAAAAUGAAAUUCGUGAUUGUAAUACAAUUAGUCUUGAACUACUUGGUUUUUUGCCGUAACAGGUUUCCAAAGAGGCGAAAAAUGAGGAUACCUCCCCAGAUGAUGAUCAUGAUGAUGAUGAUGCAAGGCUACAUGACUUAGGGAUUACACAUUUCCAAACUCUUUUUUUUUUUUCCUUAUGUUUAAUUUUGAAUAUUUCUAGUUAAUUUUGUAAUUAAUAUUGGAUAAUGGGAAAAGAGCCAUGAUGCAUCUAAAUUAAUUGACUUAAUUAUAUUAAUCUUGUAAAGUUUUUAUGGAAGGAUUAGUUAUUGAUGACUUUAGCAUAUUUUUUAUUUUUUAGAAUUUAAGAUUUCUAAUAUUUUAAACUUAUCCAUUUUUUUACUCCGAUUUUUUUAGCGUAGUCUGGAAUAUUUAUGAUAUCUUUACAUGAAGCAUUUUUGUGGAUUCAUAUUUUUUACCUGAUUUUUUCAUCUGACUUUUUAAAAUAAAAAAGAGUUAUUUUUGAUUUUAUGGUACCGAUUUAUUGAUAGUCCCCGACUUGCUAACUAUGAUUCUAGCUACAAGAAGUGUUACUUCUCUCUAGUGAAGCAAUAAAUAUGCCCCAAACAACAUUUAAAAUGUCACUUUCUUCUUUUCUUCUUCCUUUUCUGUUUAUGAUAUGUUGAUGCUAGGAAUGAGGGUAUGAGACAUUACGUUGAGACAUCUGCCCCCCUUAACCACCCAGAGCUACCCUCAUUGUUAAAUGAUAUUUAUUUUUCAUAAUUUAUUUUUCAUUGUAUCAUAUAAUCAUACUAAACCUACUCAUAUUAUCAUCAUGGGAACUUUUUUCUAACUAAUUGGGGUCAACUACAUGAAUCCUGGUGCCUAUUCUGUUCUAUUUAGGCCAUUCCAAUAUUGAGGCCAUAUAAUAAUAAAAAAAAAAUUGUUCUUCAAUCACAUUGUGCCAAGAUGCAUCUUUUCCAUCCCUUCAAUAAAAAGAUGCACCAAGAUUCAAUUGAGCUGCAUUUUCAAUGGCAACAAUUUUCGAUCCGAUAGUUCUACUUGCUCUCACAUGAAUUCUAAAUUCCCAUAGCACUGUAGAACCUUGUUUCAUCAAAAAACAAUAGAGGACUAAGGUGCAUUUUGGUGCAACAUUCACAUACAAAAAUUUCAUUACACAACAUGUUACUAUGUAAGCAUGCCAAGCAAGCAAAGUAGUAACUGACCAUAAUGCUUUUCUCCUCUCAUUACUCUUUUAUAUAUCGUAACUAACACAAUGGUUGAACUUUCGUUCGAAGAAAGUACUCCAUAUAUUUGCUAUUUAUGACAUCCAUGGUAUGUGGCCAAAAUGCUCAUUGUUGGUUAUUAAUAAGACAUUAAUGACGAACACCAUAGAUUAGUUGUUUGCGGUUUUGUUCGUAAUAGUAGCCGGCUACAAUUACGAAAAAAGACCGCCAAAGAAAUGUAACGAAGUUAUGUUGGUGUUUUCAUCUCAUGGCAAGGCAUGGAACACAAGGUUAAAGGUUCAACUUUUAGCCUGCAUACUGAAAGAUCAUCAAUGUCUAUAGUUUCUAUUUCUUGCUAAUAUUAUUGUUGUAAUUUCAAAGUUAUAGCUUAAGGCGAUGGCAUAAGUGCAUUCUAAUUGAGUCAUACGUACCAACUAAUUAAAUAUAAUAGUCCAGUUUGGAAUAAGUAGAAAGUUCUUACCCUUGUACCGACAAAGAAAUGUAAUGAAGUGGCUAGAGGAAAAGGUAAUCUAGUCAUUUUUCCUAGAGGGAGUGCUGCUUCCACCUAAAUGAAAACCUAGAGGUGGUCAUGAUAAUUCAUUUCGUAUUGCGAACAAAGCAAAAAUAAAUAAUCAGGGUAGGAGAUUGGCAAACGUAAAUUAUAUAGAAGAGAAGAGAGAGAGAGAGCAAGAGAAAGGGCGAGCGGCUGGCUGUUGCGAAGAAAGGGCAAGCGGCUGGCUGUUGCAAAGAAAUGGUGAGCGGCUAGCUGUCGCAAGCGAGCCGCUUACGGGUGAAAAAAUAGGGCACAGGUGUGAAGAGGGGUGUGUUAUCGAGGUGGGAAUAACUUCUAUUUUUAAGUUCCAUGGUUUACCAUGGAACUUUUUCUAUGUGUAAAAGUGGGAACAUGAAUAGGAAAUGAAUUUCUAUUUUUGUCUUAUCUUUUUUUUUUAUCAAAUACAGAAUAUGAAUGGUAACAUGUAAAUUCCAUCUUUGGAGAAUCAAACACGUCUAAAGAGAAGAAACACCCCGCUCUUUAGCCUAUAGCCUAAAUUUCUCAUUUCUUUGAUAAAACCUGCGUUAGCAAGGAGAAAAUGGGGCCAAAAAAGCUUCCAAUUAAAAAGAUAGAGAAUAAGACGAACCAAAAGUGAGCUACUCUGAAGGGAGGAAUGUCCUCCUCAAGAAAGCCUAUGAGCUCUUCAUUCUUAGUGACAUCGAUAUCGCUCUUAUCAUAUUCUCUGAAAAAUAACAAGCCUUGCUUUUUCUCUAGGAAAAAGAGGUAAUUAGACUAACAUUUUUCUUGUUUACUUUGAGGUAUUCAUCGAUCUUGAUCAUGACUUGGUCUCUUAUAUUUUGUUGUUUUUGUCUGUGCUAUUUGUGCUUUUUUACAUGCUUGAGCAAGCUUUUGAACGCUAUAUGAACCUUGAUGUGCCUGUACAAGGGAGGUAAGAGUUUAAAAUUUAAUGGUUCUCUUGUUUCUCAAUGGUGUGUUUUAUUAAGUUUUCAUGUUCACUUUUUGGUUUAUUCUCAAUUGGGUUCCUCUGCUCUACCAUUUAUGUUUGAUAUGCAACUUCUAAAGGCUUCAAAAUAAAGAAGUGUAUGCUCUCUCUUGUGCUAUGUGCAUUCAAAUUUGUGAUUCUAUUACCUUUUGAUUCAGACUGAUUAUAAUUUUUAUACAAUUUUUAUACAACGAUUGUCUUUGCAACAAAGUUUCCUAGAAGACCUCAUGAAGCUGACGCCUUAAGACGAUUUGGCCUCUCAAUUAAGUGGGUAUCUCUCUCUCUUACAAACACAUGAAUGCGAAUUCAUGUUUGUAGAUGAAAGGCUUUAUUUGUGCUUCCCUUAUUUGAAUAUUUUGUUUUGUCUUCCUAUGUUGGGUUCUUUAUGGAUUGUCUUAAAGCAUCUCAAAUAGUCAUCAUCCACGCAUCGAGGUAUGCUCACAAGUUAUUUAUCGGAAAGUAUAUACUAAGAUUGUCUAGUUUUGAUGUAAGAAGGUCAUGAAAACUCCAAAUCACUACAUGUUGAAUCAGACGAGGGGUGUGCCAUUGGUCUAGAACAAAUUCCAAGAAAAAAACUAUUGAACUUUGCAAGACAUCCAUAACAACUCGGUUUUGAAUCUAAUGGCUGGGGUGAUGAUGAUCUUCUUGUAGCAUAAUGAUGCUUCUUUAUGGAGUUAUUUAUAUUAAGGAAAUUUAAUCAAAAUACACUUAUUUUUGGACUGUUUAGCGUCUUACCAAUAUAUUUUUAUCUAAUUUCAAAUUGCUCAUCAAAAUGGGUUUCAAAAUGACACAUCAAAAUGGGUUUCAAAUUUUCGAAAACUACACAUAAGGUAGGUAUUAAGUACUUCAAACUUUAUAUGUAUUUUGAUAGAUUGUACUUAAUUUCUUUGGGGUAAAACUUCUAUUGCAAAUCUUAUUUUAAUUAGAAGUACUUGUUAUACUAGAAUUAUGAUUUCUUCAUGUAUAGACACUCUGAUCUCGACUGGAGAACGACUGGAGAAGUUAUGGAUAGGUUGAAAUGUCUAGGCAGACCAUGCAAAUAGUUAAACCAUUCACCUCACUAGAACCUCUUCUCUGUAAAUCUAGCCUCCACCAAACCCUUAUUGCUCUAAUGGGACUAAAGGCAUCAAGAGAUCAAACAAGGCGAGACAGACUCAUACCAAAGCCGCAUUAAUGAGUAAUUAAUAUUUCCUGACCGUAAUUAUUGUAACAUUAAUGACAUGGUAUCAUUCCAACCAGCGUCAAUGCCAAUCCAAGUAUCGUUAAGGUUCUGAUGGUCCAAAAAUUGCACAAAACCAACCUACAGGCUGUCAUGAGUCCAUUUUGCCUAUAAAUAACCCAUUUUGCCUCAGGUUUAGUGGGGAAGCUGCCUGAAUCUUGAGCCAAAACUUUGUCAGAGUUCCCUUAAUCUUGAGCCUAGGCUAUGCCCAAAAAUCUCUUGAUCUUAAGAUUAUAUUUGAGAUUAUGAGAAAAGCCCCAAGGUGAGCCCACUUGAGCAAUCCCGAUUCCAUCCAAACCCUUCAAUCCAAAAUUAUAACUAUAACUCCUUCAAACUGCACUACUAACCAAAGGCGGUCAAGAUAAUCAGGCCAUUCGGACCCUCUUUUUCCUAUUUCUACUUACCCCGUUAAAAACCAAGAAAGUUCAGGAUUGACUAUGCAACCUUACAAUCUAAAUUAGUGCCGACUCUGAGCAUCAGGUCUGAGGACCCGGCUUAAAUAUUAUUUUCUUUACCUUUUCAUUGAUUUUUCUAGCAUUUAUUUUAAAGUGAUGGCUUUCUUCUUCCCUUUCUUUAUUUCAUGAUUUAACUUCUAUUUUCUUGUUCUCUUAUUCUUGCAUUUACUUCUCUCUUAGCUAUUUUUAUAUAUGUUUUUCCCUAUUUUCCCUUAUUCAUGAUCCUACCUACAUUUCCUUGCUUUGUCAUUCAAUGUAGUAUUUAAUAUGCAUAGUAAGUUAUAUUUAAUCAUCUCUUUUAUUUCCUUCUCAUUGCAUAAUCAUUUUCCCUUUGAUAACUUGCAUUUAUUUCUUUUAUUGUGUUGUAUUUAUUCAUCUUCUUUGCUUCCUUAUGCAGUAUCAUGGAUCUUCUCUUCUCCAGCAACUCUCUAUUUCGCAUUUUCUUCAUUAAAUAAUCACACUUCUCUUCGUAGUAACAUUUACCUCUUGUUAAGUUUGGUGCAUUUUUUCCUUUUCUCAUUUUAUUCUUUUGUGAUGUAGAUCUCCCCCAUUUUCCCAUCCUCUUUAGUGUAGAUUUAUUUUAUUUAUCUUUCAUGAGUAUCUAUUCUCCUUGUUUGUUAUAUUGAUGCUUCCUCCUAGUUUUCUUUAUUUGAUAGCAUAGGCUCUCUCCUCUCACCCCAAUCUCUCAUCUAUUUUAUUACAUGGUUGUUUUCUUUUUUCUCGUUAUAUCUACCUCUUUUAGUUUGUUGUGUUUAUUUAUUUUUCCCCAUUUUCUCACUUGAUAGCAUAGAUCUUGCCGUCUUCUUCACCCUCUCAAUCAAACAUUCAUUUCUUUUUCUUUAUUAUGGUUAUUUUUCUCUAUUAAUGAUAUAUUCUCUCUCCUCUUCCAUCUCAUAGUUUAACUAUCAUCUCUUUCAUCCCUCUCAUUCUUCAUUCUCUCGUAUGCUUAUUUUUCCCCUUCCCCUUAUGUUUUGUUCAAUAGUUUAGCAUCUCUUAUUCUCUUCUUGUUGUAUCUAUUUGUCUUAUUAGUAAUUUGUAUUCAUCUACUUCUCUAUCUCUUUUUCAAUGCUUCAUUUUCUAUUUCUCUCUAUCUCACUUAUAUUAACACUCUUUCAAAUACUAUUUCCUUCUAUCUCUUUCUUCUAUUUAGUUUUAUUACUCUCAAUGCAUGUUAUUUACUAGUAUUAGCUUUCUUGUCCCUCUCUCUCAUUUUAUCUCUUCUCAGGUUAUAUUAUUAUCUUUAUUCGCAUUCAUACUCAUAUCUCUCUACCUUGUUGAUGAGGACAUCAUCUCUUUUCUUCUUCAUAGUCAUACUCGCAUUUCCAUAAUACUCUUUCAUUCUAUGUUACACAUGUGUAGACUAAACUCACUUCCUUUGUCUCCAUGCUCUCUAAUUUGUUAUUCUUACUGCAUCUUGUAGUUAGAUUCUCCACCCAUGUUUAUGUGCAUCUCCCUAGUUUAGUUGUUUAUUUGUGGUUCUCUUUCUUUGUUCGCUUCCUAAAUCUAUUUUCUUAAAACCCUCUUUUUAUCCCAAACCCCUUUUUAAAAGCUUUCUUGGUUGCGUUUCAAGGUUAAAAUAGUAGGAAAGUCGGCUUUGUCGGCGAUCCGAGAGGGAGAAUGUCUUAAGACCUGAUUCUUCCUCGGAGCGUAAUUUGACAGAACUCAUACUCUACCAAUUCAUCGAUUUGUUUGCACUUGAAACCAAAGCGGGGCCGAAGUCCCUUGCCCGCAAUUUCGAAUAUAAACACGAGGGUUGAGGUUCAAGAUAUAAAUAGAGGUCGAUAUAUGAUUUUAGAAGCAUAGUAUCAUAGUUAAAGUAGAGAGCUAAGACGCUUGGCUUUUUCUUUCACCAUAUUUCUCAAUCAAAUUUUUAUUUCAUGGAGAUCUUUAUAUAAAUUAUCCAAUGCAUUGCAAAGAUAAAUAACCUUAUAAUAUACAAUCCCCUUACUGUUGAUCUUUCAUGUCCCUUUCCUCUACAGUCUUGUGAUUCUUGUUUCAAGAACUAAUUAUUUCUUAAACAUCAGGAGCUUCUACAAUAAAUUAACUGGUUCCAACAUCAACUUGAGGAUGUAGAGAGAAAAUUAAGGUACUCAUAUUUCACUAUUUGGUAAACUUACCAUUAACCAAACUAUAUUUGAAUAAGAAGCAAAGUAAAUAAUAUUCUUUACAUCUCUAUCUUCGCUUUCAGGCUUUUUUAAGGUGAACCUAAUAGUAUAACAUCACUACCAGAGGCAGAACCCUAUGAGCAUAUCGUUCAAUAUACACUCGAGUGAUUAAUCAAUCUCAAAGUCAGAUCAUAGAAAACAUAGUAAAUUAUUCUACCCUUCUUUGUUCUUUCUAUGUUGCGUGAAAUUUGUUGUCUUCAAGUAAUAUUAUUUUAAAAAUAAAGUAUCCUCAACCAGAUUUGUUUGCCUUAUGCAGCAUGAAUUGAAAGGAACUAGCGUUGGACCUUACAACCCAACUAAUUUACAUGUUUUUUUUUUUUCUCAAGCCGAAAUUGUCAAAAUUUAAGUAUAAACCUUUUCUUCUUGGGCUGAUUUGCUGGACCCUAGUGGUAUUAAAAAAAUGCAAACAUAUAUUCAUGGAGAGAUUUCAGAUUGCUCAUCGACAACUAGAAACUUAUUCGACUCAAAUUAAGGAUUAGUUCUCAUAAUGGGAAAUACUCUCCCCACUUCAUAAUUUCAUGGAUUCCAACUCCAAGCUGUCCUUGAGGUAGUUUUCAUCUAUAGUUGAGAAAUAAAUGACCGGUUAAAAAGUAUAUAACAAAAUAAAAGACCAAAUUAAUGGGUAAUCACUACUACCAUACCACCCUCUCCAUGAUGAACGAAUAAAAAUACCACAAAAAAAAGGCCAAAAUAAUCUUCUACCAAUACCUGUAAAAUUUUGAUUUAUAAGGAUCAUCCACAUCCAAUGGUUGAAUGCUUACCGGACUCCUUUGUAGAUUCUUUAAUUAUGAAUGUAAAUGCAUUGAACCUUACUGAUCAAGUUGGGUUAAUCAAUGAGAGCAAUUGAGCGGAAGCGGAUGAAGAGUUUGCUCAAGUUGAGACUAUAACAUCUGAGCUUCCUAAAACUUGCACUGCUACAACACUUGCCAUCCAUCCUCCCACAAUCUCAAGCCCAAAUACAGUGAACCCGGUAUGGUCUUUCUUUCCAUACAAUUUACAUGUUUAUAUAUACUAGUAAGGUUUCUCUUGGGCCAGUCAAUACUUUUAAGUUCAGAUAUAGGAUUUCUUUACAACUUUUUCAAAUUAUACAUUGAAAAUAAUCUCAACCACUAUGAUCAUGAAUUUGGAAAAAAGAAAAAUUGUACUUAAAUGUUAAAAUAUUUUAUGUUAAAUGAUUCAGGAGACAUGCAUAUGCAUACUCAAGGGCAUAAGUACAAGAAAAUAUGUAAACCAAUGUAAAAUAAUGUAGGUAGUUUUCAUUGAUCAAUAGCCAUCCAUUCAAUAAAACUAAAAUUUAAAACAUACCCACACUUAUCUCAUUCAUUCGUGAUUUGUAUACUGUGAGACCCUUUAUCUAUGCUAUAAGAAGGCUACAACUCUAGUUGUCAAAGUGGAACCAGGCAGGCAAAGGAGUGUGCCAUUCUUUUUUUACACAGUUCGAAAAAUGUUAAUCAUUGAAGGUGAUGAAUGACACACUCUUCAACUUACCAAUUUCAUAUUUGAUGACUAAGAAUAAUUGUGAUUUUCCUGUGCAGAAGGUAGUUCAUUAUUAACACAUGUGUGCGUAGUCUCUCCAUAAAUAUUUUACUUCUCACAUAUUGUAUUUUCCUUUUUGGUUAAUUUAUUUCACAAAAUUCUCUUAAUAUACGAUCUUACCUGGAUGCCAUGGAGAUUAUAUUCACAGGGAAUUGGAGACUCAAGUUCGUUGACUCAAAAUUAGAUGGAAGUGGAGAGUAUGGUUCGUCGACUCAAAAUAAGGAGGAUUAGAUCUUUUGCCACUAUGCUUAUAUCAACUACACAAAACAAGGAUGACAUUUCUUUUUCUGUUUUUUUUUUUUUUUUUUUGAUAUUUCUUGGAUGACUCGGGUCUAAGAAAGCCCAAAUUCUUUCCUUUUUUGAAUGCAUUGAACACAAAUAUAAGUCCAUUAUGCAAGGAAAAGAAAAGCUAGUGUGUUUAAGCAAAAGAAAUUCGCUAAGCUCCAGCUCUUAACUUAUUUGAUGAGAAAGAGAGGGUUCCAACUCAUUACAACUCACUCAAAUCAAUGACUCUGCUAAAAGAGGGCUUUCCAACUCUCUCUUAUCAACUCUAAUUCUACAGGUUGAUAAUCUCAACUAGCACAAGCAUAAAUUUAAAAAUAUAUUUUAAACUUUACAAACAUGUUGUUUUAAAAUUUUCAUAGACUAUGCAUUUUAAUUCUUUUAAAAUAAAAUAUCAUAAAAUUUAAAUUUAAAUUUAAAUUUAAAUUCAAAUUUAAAUUCUAUUUUUAAGAUUCAUAAUCAAAGUGGUCGAGAUUAUUGGCCUAUAAAAGUUUAGUCCAAAAGUCAUUCUCUAAGAGAGAUUUUGGGAAGAGGACCACAAUAGCAACACAUAAAAUUUUCGCUUUGUUUUCCUUCAAAAAAAUAUAGGAUAAAUCACAAAGUGUCAACAAGGUUUGGUUUGGUUAGAAUUUCAAAGUUAAAGUUGAAGUACUUCCAUGGUUUACCCAUGAACAUUAUUCAGGAAAGUGUACAACGUCUGCCGGGUUACUAUGAAAAGUGUAUGUUAUUAAUAUGCAUGGGAAGGGUAGGUGCAAUAUUAUGUAUUUUAUGGUAGGUCUCAAUAUCUUCUAGGUGUCUAUGAUUCAUUUCCAUUCCUAUCGUAUAUCCCAAGUUUCUCUUCAGAGAAACUUUGGACUUUAACAAACAUGAUGUCAUUUCCAAGUACUCCCCAUGAACUGGCUGGUGUUUGUUAACCAACACUUCACAAAAAGUUUACUUUCAACUUAGUGGUGAAGGUUUUUUAUUAAAAAAAAAUUAUCUUCUUUACCCAUUCUUUUGUUUAAUUUUUCUAGGGAGAUUUAUCAAAACUCUUUAACAUUUUACCUAUUUCAUAUAAAUUUAAAAACUCAUCAAAAUGCAAAUCUUGGAAUAUUUAAAAAAUUUUAAAAUAUUAAAAAUUUGAUAAAUUAGUUAUAUAUUAAUAAAUUUUUCUUUUUAUAUUGUGGAUAAUUUGUAUUUGCAUGUUUUUUUUUCUCUAUUUUGUCGUUGGUUUUCAUUCAUGUACGUAGAGGUGAAGGGGUGUUGCUUCCAAAUAGUUAGACCCAAGAUGUGGGGGGAUAAGUACUUCUUAGCGAUGUGUAUGUAGGAGGAGGUAAGACUUAGGAAAAAAUAUUGAAAAAGUUGGAGAGAGAGAGAGAGAGAUCCACUUUUGAGUCGCUUCAUUAAUUUAAACAAGGUUGUGCAUGAGCUUGUUAAUGGUAAGAAUCAUCCUGAUCAUCUGAGUUUUAUCCCAAUAAUUUGGGGUCGGCAAUACGAAUCUUAUUUCAUAUCCUUAGUCAAACCAUUAGUCACUAGAUCUAAUCUCAUCACUUCCAUCAAUAUCUAUUUGGGCCAUCCCCUUGUCCUUUUAGUGCCUUCCAUUUGAACUAAAUCUCUCCGUCAAACCCACUACGUCCUAGGUCAACACUACACAUGACCAAGACUGCCUAAGUCUACUUUCUUUUAUUUUAUCACCUACUGGAUCUAUUCUUAAAUAUCCUCGAAUGUAUUCAUUUCGAAUUUCAUUUUUUAUUAUCAUGUCACUCAUCCAUUUCAACAUCCUCAUCUUUGCUACACUUACUAUAUGGAUAUUUUUUUCUUGACUGCUCAUACAUUCCAUCCCAUAAAACAUGGUGGCCUUCCAACCAUCCCAUAGAAAUUCCCCUUUAGUUUCAUUCGUAUGUGACCAUGACAUAAGACUUCAGAAGCACAUCUCUACUUCAUCCACCCAGCUUUAAUCAUAUAAAUGACUUUUUCAAUUUCUCCUAUCUCAUGGAUUUCAACCCAAGAUAUUCAAAUGUUAUUGGUGAUGAUACACACCCUAAAAUAUGAAAAGAAUUAUGGAGCGUUGGAGAAAGAGAGAGCAAUCGAAAGUGCACAAGAGGCAUGGUUAUAGCUUGAGCAGGGGAGCGAAACUUUUUAUACCUAUUUGAAGCAGGAUAAGCAUCGUAUGCUUCAAUAACUAAGGAAAGUUAUAGCUCAUGGGAGUGAAAGAAACUUUAAGGUGGUUGCAGCAUCCCAAUGGCAAGUCAAAUCCUCUCAAUUAUUAGACAUCAUUUCAUUCAAUAAUAUGCGAUAUACUUUUCCUAUUAAAAUUUGCCCCAUUGCUCUCAAUUAUCAUUAUAAUUUAAGAGGUGGCGUCAAGUAACUUUUUCUUUUUUCUUAAACACACACUAGCUUCUUUUGUUCCCCUUCUUAAAUGUAAAAUAACGGACUCAUAUUGGUGAAUCAGUUGUAAUAGAAAAGAAGAAAGUCUAUUGCUCAUUCUUGGACCCAAACAUCCAAAAAAAUUACGAAAUAAAAAACCAAAAAGGGUUACUAUCGUUACUUUUUA
rnacentral:lncRNA from 1 species